rnacentral:rRNA from 1 species
GACGUAGGGGGCCAGCGUUGUUCGGAAUUACUGGGCGUAAAGGGUUCGUAGGCGGUGUGGCAAGUCGGGAGUGAAAUCUCUGGGCUCAACCCAGAGUCUGCUUCCGAAACUGCUGUGCUUGAGUGUGGGAGAGGCGCGUGGAAUUGCAGGUGUAGCGGUGAAAUGCGUAGAUAUCUGCAGGAACACCCGUGGCGAAAGCGGCGCGCUGGACCACUACUGACGCUGAGGAACGAAAGCGAGGGGAGCAAACAGG